rnacentral:lncRNA from 1 species
UGGUAGUCAAACUAGCCUUCUUGAUCACGGUAGCAGUUUUCUGGAAAACUCAGAAAACCGUAUGAAUGUUAUUUCUGACAUGCUUUGACCUAUUGCUAGCAGAUGAUUUUGAUGUUGUUUGACUGACCUGAUGAUUGAUAAUUGAACCUUGUCAUGUAUACUACAACCUUGAGCCAUUAUAUCACAUUAACACUAACCAGAACCGAUAGAAAUUG